rnacentral:rRNA from 1 species
AUGGUGGACACCGGCGCCGGUGAGGAAGAAGAGGGCGUGGAGGACAGCAGGUCGAACGUAUCCCAGCUCGCCGUCGCGGUCUGCGGCGCGGGGGCGGUCGCCGUGGUGGGCGCAGCGGGCUGGAACUGCCGGCGCUGCUGGUGCUGCUGCGCCGGCGGCGGACGAGGGGGCAGGUGCGGCGCCCGGGCCUUAUUGGCCGUUGCAGCAGGUGUACUGUUUUUCUUGGUCAUCUUGGCGCGGAUGGCGUCCAGCGUCUCCACGUUCUUCUGCACCCGCUUCUCCUGGAUCCGGCGCUGGUCCUUGACGUCGCCCUCGGCGACGAUGGCGUCCAGCUUGAGCAGCUCGCUCAUGAGCGCCUCGGUGAGCGUGACCAGGUCGAGGCUGACGCGCGAGAUGGCCUUGGCGGCGCGCUGGGCCUUGGCAUUCCGGCGCUCUUCGAUGAGGCGCUUGGCCUGGGCGGUGGGGUCCUCGAGCAGCGUCAUCUUGGAGCGGUCCUUGACGCCGACCAUGUCGAGGAAGGCCUUGGAGUCGCGCUCCCUGUCCUUGUACACCACCUUCUGGUCGUCCGGGUGCAGCCCCGUCUUCUCUGACAUGAGCUUCUUGAGCUCCCCGAAGGAGGCCUGGGAGUUGAUGUACACCUCGUGGUACACGCCGGCGUACUUGACCUUGACGCGGAUGGUGGGGACGGGCGCGCCGCCGGGGGGCGGGUCCGAGUCCGGGGUGCGCUUCUGCACCAGCAUGCCGCUGGGCCGGACCUCCCACACCUCCUCCUGCACCGCCGCCGCCACCGACUCCCUCAUCGGGGAGAAUGCCGCGGGCCGCUGGUCCUUCCCGCGCAUCAUCUUGGCUUCGAUCUCCUCCCAAUCAAGCUUGUAUACUUCUCUGGUCAGAGCCGCAGCAGAGGCUAGCUAA